rnacentral:rRNA from 1 species
UACGUAGGUGGCAAGCGUUGUCCGGAUUUACUGGGCGUAAAGAGCGCGCAGGCGGUCGUUCAAGUCGCGUGUGAAAGCCCCCGGCUCAACUGGGGAGGGUCACGCGAUACUGAUCGACUGGAAGGCAGGAGAGGGUAGUGGAAUUCCCGGUGUAGUGGUGAAAUGCGUAGAUAUCGGGAGGAACACCAGUGGCGAAGGCGGCGACCUGGGUAGAUACUGACGCUGAGGCGCGAAAGCGUGGGGAGCAAACAGG